UGAAAUUGUAGACAUGUUGUCUAACUAGUUCUUGUCUCCGUUGUUUUCUCUGUACAGAUUUGUGUUGGUUAGUGUGGACUGAGGCUGCUUGUGGUUUUGGGAUUCCAAUUAAAUCCAUUCUUUCUUCGCAUAAGAUCCUAAAACGGAGAUGGAAGACACAAACACAACGGUUAGUAAUCAACGGUUCUUCAACUAUGUCCGGAGAUUGUACCCUUCAAUCAAUUCUUGAUGAUGGGGAGCCUAAUGAAGAGGAUGGGAGUUGUGUUACAAUUAUGGAUGAUUAGACAUUUUGUAUUAAUUUAGUAGCCUUUUUAAUUUCUUAAACUUGUUGGAUUAAUUUGUUGGUUUGUAAUUAUUUUAAGCCUUUUUAGCAUUUUGUAAUUUUUUAGCCUUUUUAAUUUGUUGGUUUGUGGAGGAUAAGACAUUUUGUAAUUUCUUACACUUGUAGGAUUUGUUUUGUAACUUUUUAUUUUUGAAUUUCUUGAACU